rnacentral:rRNA from 1 species
CAUAGGUUAAUGAGGCGAACCGGGGGAACUGAAACAUCUAAGUACCCCGAGGAAAAGAAAUCAACCGAGAUUCCCCCAGUAGCGGCGAGCGAACGGGGAGGAGCCCAGAGCCUGAAUCAGUGUGUGUGUUAGUGGAAGCGUCUGGAAAGGCGCGCGAUACAGGGUGACAGCCCCGUACACAAAAAUGCACAUACUGUGAGCUCGAUGAGUAGGGCGGGACACGUGGUAUCCUGUCUGAAUAUGGGGGGACCAUCCUCCAAGGCUAAAUACUCCUGACUGACCGAUAGUGAACCAGUACCGUGAGGGAAAGGCGAAAAGAACCCCGGCGAGGGGAGUGAAAAAGAACCUGAAACCGUGUACGUACAAGCAGUGGGAGCACGCUUCGGCGUGUGACUGCGUACCUUUUGUAUAAUGGGUCAGCGACUUAUAUUCUGUAGCAAGGUUAACCGAAUAGGGGAGCCGAAGGGAAACCGAGUCUUAACUGGGCGUUAAGUUGCAGGGUAUAGACCCGAAACCCGGUGAUCUAGCCAUGGGCAGGUUGAAGGUUGGGUAACACUAACUGGAGGACCGAACCGACUAAUGUUGAAAAAUUAGCGGAUGACUUGUGGCUGGGGGUGAAAGGCCAAUCAAACCGGGAGAUAGCUGGUUCUCCCCGAAAGCUAUUUAGGUAGCGCCUCGUGAAUUCAUCUCCGGGGGUAGAGCACUGUUUCGGCAAGGGGGUCAUCCCGACUUACCAACCCGAUGCAAACUGCGAAUACCGGAGAAUGUUAUCACGGGAGACACACGGCGGGUGCUAACGUCCGUCGUGAAGAGGGAAACAACCCAGACCGCCAGCUAAGGUCCCAAAGUCAUGGUUAAGUGGGAAACGAUGUGGGAAGGCCCAGACAGCCAGGAUGUUGGCUUAGAAGCAGCCAUCAUUUAAAGAAAGCGUAAUAGCUCACUGGUCGAGUCGGCCUGCGCGGAAGAUGUAACGGGGCUAAACCAUGCACCGAAGCUGCGGCAGCGACACUAUGUGUUGUUGGGUAGGGGAGCGUUCUGUAAGCCUGUGAAGGUGUACUGUGAGGUAUGCUGGAGGUAUCAGAAGUGCGAAUGCUGACAUAAGUAACGAUAAAGCGGGUGAAAAGCCCGCUCGCCGGAAGACCAAGGGUUCCUGUCCAACGUUAAUCGGGGCAGGGUGAGUCGACCCCUAAGGCGAGGCCGAAAGGCGUAGUCGAUGGGAAACAGGUUAAUAUUCCUGUACUUGGUGUUACUGCGAAGGGGGGACGGAGAAGGCUAUGUUGGCCGGGCGACGGUUGUCCCGGUUUAAGCGUGUAGGCUGGUUUUCCAGGCAAAUCCGGAAAAUCAAGGCUGAGGCGUGAUGACGAGGCACUACGGUGCUGAAGCAACAAAUGCCCUGCUUCCAGGAAAAGCCUCUAAGCAUCAGGUAACAUCAAAUCGUACCCCAAACCGACACAGGUGGUCAGGUAGAGAAUACCAAGGCGCUUGAGAGAACUCGGGUGAAGGAACUAGGCAAAAUGGUGCCGUAACUUCGGGAGAAGGCACGCUGAUAUGUAGGUGAAGCGACUUGCUCGUGGAGCUGAAAUCAGUCGAAGAUACCAGCUGGCUGCAACUGUUUAUUAAAAACACAGCACUGUGCAAACACGAAAGUGGACGUAUACGGUGUGACGCCUGCCCGGUGCCGGAAGGUUAAUUGAUGGGGUUAGCGGUAACGCGAAGCUCUUGAUCGAAGCCCCGGUAAACGGCGGCCGUAACUAUAACGGUCCUAAGGUAGCGAAAUUCCUUGUCGGGUAAGUUCCGACCUGCACGAAUGGCGUAAUGAUGGCCAGGCUGUCUCCACCCGAGACUCAGUGAAAUUGAACUCGCUGUGAAGAUGCAGUGUACCCGCGGCAAGACGGAAAGACCCCGUGAACCUUUACUAUAGCUUGACACUGAACAUUGAGCCUUGAUGUGUAGGAUAGGUGGGAGGCUUUGAAGUGUGG